rnacentral:rRNA from 1 species
AUGGGAGCAGUUUUGUCCUACGCCGCCGGCACAGCCAUGGCGACCAAGGACUUCGUGCGGCAACGGAGGUCAACCACGACAGAUGCCAUGGCCGGUUGGUCCGGCCUGCCGGAUGACCUCCUGUUCACCAUCAUGGCGUUGCUGGACGUCCCCAGCCUCCGGCGCGCCGGCGCCGUGUGCAAGUCCUGGCGCGCCGCGCACCACGCCUUCCGCCUCCCCGAGCUGGAGCGCGCGCCAUGCCUGCUCUACGCAUGCGAGGAGUACGGGCCCGACGAUGCCGCCCUCUAUUGCCCCGCCACCGGCGCCACCUUCCGCGUCCCCUUCCCGGGGCCCCCGCAUGAGAAGCGGGGUUUCGCCUUCGCGAGCCAAGGCGGCUGGGUGUUCACCACCGACGAGAUCGGCAACCCGUACCUCCUCAACCCCGUCACCGGCGCCCAGGCCGUGCUCCCGCCGCUCAAGACAAUCUACGGAACUGACAAGUUUUAUGACGACCACGGCAAGCACGUCUGGCCUGCUGCCCCCGAAUAUGGUAUCAUGAAACCCAAAAUCAGCUGGGCGCGUCACCGGGAGUUUUGGGGAGUCGCCAUCUCCGCGGCCGCCAAGGCCAAAGAAUGCACCGUCUUGAUCGUGAACAUGUCGUGGUUUGGUCUCUCUUUCGCCAGGCCUGGAGACAAGAGGUGGACAAGGGUGAUCCCCAAAGAUACACACGCGGUCGGCGACAUCCUGUACAAUGACAAGGAUGGCUUGUUCUACAUCCUAUAUUACAAUGGUAGCAUUGGUACCUUGGAUCUCAGCGGGCCUUCACCGUCGCUGACCAUGAUCAUGCGGCGCGAGAUAAGUUCGUCCCCUUUUCAUACCAUGUACCUCGCCCUUGGUCCAUCAGGUGAACUCUUGGAGGUAGAAAGGAAGUGGAGUCCCAAAAAUGUUUCACUAAAGUAUCAUGACACUUACCGAGACAUCAACCUAGCCAGUGAAGAUGACCAAGAUAUUGAUGCAUCACCACCGCUUGACAUGGCACAUCGGAUUGUCAAGAAGGCCAGCACGGUCCAGCUCCUGGUCUUCAAGGUUGACAUCAAGCGGCGUAAGUUGGUGAAACUAAGGGACAUUGGGGAUCACGCGCUCUUUCUUGGGCUCAACUCUGCCGUGUGCCUUCCGACCAAGGACUUCCCGGCGUUCGAGCCAAACAGCGUCUACCUCACGGACGCCUGUUUAUACUACGGCCCAAUGCUACGAAAAGAUCUUUGCAUCUGGAACAUCAGGAAUAGGAGUAUGCAAAAACUUGAUGACGCGUGGCCAAACAUGUAUUCUUGGCUGCAUUUACCGGCUCCAAUAUGGAUCAUGCCAAGGUUUUAA